rfam:Callipepla squamata strain Texas jcf7180005234140, whole genome shotgun sequence.
UGCAGCCCAGUCAAAUUCAGUCUCUGCCUCCCUCAUGGCGAGCGCUGGCCCUCCGGCUGCCACAGCAAAUGUCUGUAGUUCAUGGGCCCCACGUCCCCUCCCGUGGGACCCUGGGGAUAAAAUCGUGCCACGGACACUG